rfam:Agrobacterium tumefaciens str. C58 linear chromosome, complete sequence.
CCUGCAGAAUGACGGCACAGAUGAGGGUCUGGAUGAAGGCGGUAUAGAACGAUCCGUGGAUGAAGUAUGUGGCAACCGCAAAAGCAAGCAAUGCACCGAUCAUGCUGAAAAAAACACGAGGUGCAUACAUGGUGCUCUCCUCCCGAGAACGAUUUCUCCGUUUUUGGCUGCGCU